AAUGAACGCUGGCGGCAGGCCUAACACAUGCAAGUCGAACGGGUCCUUCGGGACUAGUGGCGGACGGGUGAGUAACGCGUGGGAACGUGCCCUUUGCUACGGAAUAGCCCCGGGAAACUGGGAGUAAUACCGUAUAAGCCCUACGGGGGAAAGAUUUAUCGGCAAAGGAUCGGCCCGCGUUGGAUUAGGUAGUUGGUGGGGUAAUGGCCUACCAAGCCGACGAUCCAUAGCUGGUUUGAGAGGAUGAUCAGCCACACUGGGACUGAGACACGGCCCAGACUCCUACGGGAGGCAGCAGUGGGGAAUCUUAGACAAUGGGGGAAACCCUGAUCUAGCCAUGCCGCGUGAUCGAUGAAGGCCUUAGGGUUGUAAAGAUCUUUCAGGUGGGAAGAUAAUGACUGUGCCACCAGAAGAAGCCCCGGCUAACUCCGUGCCAGCCGCCGCGGUAA
rnacentral:rRNA from 1 species